AUUGAACGCUGGCGGCAGGCCUAACACAUGCAAGUCGAACGGUAACAGGAAGCAGCUUGCUGCUUUGCUGACGAGUGGCGGACGGGUGAGUAAUGUCUGGGAAACUGCCUGAUGGAGGGGGAUAACUACUGGAAACGGUAGCUAAUACCGCAUAACGUCGCAAGACCAAAGAGGGGGACCUUCGGGCCUCUUGCCAUCGGAUGUGCCCAGAUGGGAUUAGCUAGUAGGUGGGGUAACGGCUCACCUAGGCGACGAUCCCUAGCUGGUCUGAGAGGAUGACCAGCCACACUGGAACUGAGACACGGUCCAGACUCCUACGGGAGGCAGCAGUGGGGAAUAUUGCACAAUGGGCGCAAGCCUGAUGCAGCCAUGCCGCGUGUAUGAAGAAGGCCUUCGGGUUGUAAAGUACUUUCAGCGGGGAGGAAGGGAGUAAAGUUAAUACCUUUGCUCAUUACGUUACCCGCAGAAGAAGCACCGGCUAACUCCGUG
rnacentral:rRNA from 1 species